rnacentral:lncRNA from 1 species
UGUUCUUUCAAAGAGUUGCAAUAUUUUAGGGUUGAUUACUGUGUUCAUUCACUACUAAUUUCUUUCUUUCUUUCUUUUUUUUUUUUUAGGGAGAACUUCUGAUGAUGCAGAUUUCUUGGGCAAUGUGUUGAUUUCACCAUAUUCGGGAAGGAUCGAUUAUCAUUUCUUGUGCCUAAGGUGUUGAUCAGGCUCAGUUCCAGGGCUGGGACAUUCGCUACCUUCUAAAACAACUGGCUUCCUGUGCUUGCUGUGCUCAGUCGUGUCUGGCCCUUUGCAACCCCAUAGACUGCACCCUGCCAGGCUCCUCUGUCCACAGGGUUUCUCCAGGCAAGAAUAUUGAAGUAAGUUGUCAUGCCCUCCUCCAGGAUCAAACCCAGGUCUUCCACAUUACAGGCAGAUUCUCUACAUCUGAGCC